AAAUUGAAGAGUUUGAUCAUGGCUCAGAUUGAACGCUGGCGGCAGGCCUAACACAUGCAAGUCGAACGGUAACAGGAAACAGCUUGCUGUUUCGCUGACGAGUGGCGGACGGGUGAGUAAUGUCUGGGAAACUGCCUGAUGGAGGGGGAUAACUACUGGAAACGGUAGCUAAUACCGCAUAACGUCGCAAGACCAAAGAGGGGGACCUUCGGGCCUCUUGCCAUCGGAUGUGCCCAGAUGGGAUUAGCUUGUUGGUGGGGUAACGGCUCACCAAGGCGACGAUCCCUAGCUGGUCUGAGAGGAUGACCAGCCACACUGGAACUGAGACACGGUCCAGACUCCUACGGGAGGCAGCAGUGGGGAAUAUUGCACAAUGGGCGCAAGCCUGAUGCAGCCAUGCCGCGUGUAUGAAGAAGGCCUUCGGGUUGUAAAGUACUUUCAGCGGGGAGGAAGGGAGUAAAGUUAAUACCUUUGCUCAUUGACGUUACCCGCAGAAGAAGCACCGGCUAACUCCGUGCCAGCAGCCGCGGUAAUACGGAGGGUGCAAGCGUUAAUCGGAAUUACUGGGCGUAAAGCGCACGCAGGCGGUUUGUUAAGUCAGAUGUGAAAUCCCCGGGCUCAACCUGGGAACUGCAUCUGAUACUGGCAAGCUUGAGUCUCGUAGAGGGGGGUAGAAUUCCAGGUGUUAGCGGUUGAAAUUGCGUAGAGAUCUGGAGGAAUACCGGUGGCGAAGGCGGCCCCCUGGACGAAGACUGACGCUCAGGUGCGAAAGCGUGGGGAGCAAACAGGAUUAGAUACCCUGGUAGUCCACGCCGUAAACGAUGUCGACUUGGAGGUUGUGCCCUUGAGGCGUGGCUUCCGGAGCUAACGCGUUAAGUCGACCGCCUGGGGAGUACGGCCGCAAGGUUAAAACUCAAAUGAAUUGACGGGGGCCCGCACAAGCGGUGGAGCAUGUGGUUUAAUUCGAUGCAACGCGAAGAACCUUACCUGGUCUUGACAUCCACGGAAGUUUUCAGAGAUGAGAAUGUGCCUUCGGGAACCGUGAGACAGGUGCUGCAUGGCUGUCGUCAGCUCGUGUUGUGAAAUGUUGGGUUAAGUCCCGCAACGAGCGCAACCCUUAUCCUUUGUUGCCAGCGGUCCGGCCGGGAACUCAAAGGAGACUGCCAGUGAUAAACUGGAGGAAGGUGGGGAUGACGUCAAGUCAUCAUGGCCCUUACGACCAGGGCUACACACGUGCUACAAUGGCGCAUACAAAGAGAAGCGACCUCGCGAGAGCAAGCGGACCUCAUAAAGUGCGUCGUAGUCCGGAUUGGAGUCUGCAACUCGACUCCAUGAAGUCGGAAUCGCUAGUAAUCGUGGAUCAGAAUGCCACGGUGAAUACGUUCCCGGGCCUUGUACACACCGCCCGUCACACCAUGGGAGUGGGUUGACAAAAGAAGUAGGUAGCUUAACCUUCGGGAGGGCGCUUACCACUUUGUGAUUCAUGACUGGGGUGAAGUCGUAACAAGGUAACCGUAGGGGAACCUGCGGUUGGAUCACCUCCUUACCUUAAAGAAGC
rnacentral:rRNA from 1 species